rnacentral:rRNA from 1 species
UGAGCAAUCUGCCCUUCUCUUCGGAAUAAGCGUUGGAAACGACGUCUAAUGCCGAAUACGACCUCCUUUCGCAUGAUCGGAGGUGGAAAGCUCCGGCGGAGAAGGAUGAGCCCGCGGCCUAUCAGCUAGUUGGUGAGGUAACGGCUCACCAAGGCGACGACGGGUAGCUGGUCUGAGAGGACGGCCAGCCACACUGGGACUGAGACACGGCCCAGACUCCGUACGGGAGCAG